rnacentral:lncRNA from 1 species
AAGGGAAAGUUCAGAUACCCCAAACUGACUAUUUGGUACAACGUUUGUCUCUAGAUUCUCUUUAUAGCAUGAACACAUUCGUCUGCCUCUUUAAGAAAUUGCGAUUCUUAAUUUUCUUGAAGAACAUUGAUUCAGAGACUUAACAAGACCAAUGGCCCAGGUGAAUAGCAACAACAGGAUCUAUCCAAGAGAAGUUUACUCUGCCUCUCAUAGCUCUUCAAGUCCCUGUGUUGAUGCAAACCUGACGUAGAACCAUCUUUGUUUGCUCUGAUGAGGUAUUUGUUGCUUUUGUGUUCUAUGACUGAAAUAAUUAGACUUUGGAUCCCACUGGGAUUAUCACAUUUUACCUCUGUAGUUUGAAGGUGCAAUAGUGGGAAAUUACUAGAUGAUAAGAAAAGAUAAGACUUAAAAGAACUUUUAUAUUAACUUUGAU